CACUGCCGAGAAAAGCCUCUAGAUAGAAAAUAGGUGCCCGUACCGCAAACCGACACAGGUAGUCAAGAUGAGAAUUCUAAGGUGAGCGAGCGAACUCUCGUUAAGGAACUCGGCAAAAUGACCCCGUAACUUCGGGAGAAGGGGUGCUCUUUAGGGUUAACGCCCAGAAGAGCCGCAGUGAAUAGGCCCAAGCGACUGUUUAUCAAAAACACAGGUCUCUGCUAAACCGUAAGGUGAUGUAUAGGGGCUGACGCCUGCCCGGUGCUGGAAGGUUAAGAGGAGUGGUUAGCUUCUGCGAAGCUACGAAUCGAAGCCCCAGUAAACGGCGGCCGUAACUAUAACGGUCCUAAGGUAGCGAAAUUCCU
rnacentral:rRNA from 1 species